rfam:Nectria haematococca mpVI 77-13-4 chromosome 4 genomic scaffold NECHAsca_3_chr4_2_0, whole genome shotgun sequence.
ACAUACGACCACAUCUGCUAGAAAAAUCUGGAUCCCGUCUGAUCUCCGAUCGAUAACCUGGCAAGAGUUGGAUUAGUAGCUAGGUCGGUGACGACUAGCGAAUCCCCGAUGUUGUAUGUC